rnacentral:rRNA from 1 species
GAUGAACGCUAGCGAUAGGCCUAACACAUGCAAGUCGAGGGGCAUCACAUGAAGUAGCAAUACGGAUGGUGGCGACCGGCGCACGGGUGAGUAACACGUAUGCAACCUGCCUUCAACAAGGGGAUAACCCGUUGAAAGACGGACUAAUACCCUAUAACACAGGGGUCCCGCAUGGGAAUAUUUGUUAAAGGACAACCGGUUGAAGAUGGGCAUGCGUUCCAUUAGCUAGUUGGCGGGUAACGGCCCACAAGGCAACGAUGGAUAGGGGAACUGAGAGGUUUAUCCCCCACACUGGUACUGAGACACGGACCAGACUCCUACGGGAGGCAGCAGUGAGGAAUAUUGGUCAAUGGACGCAAGUCUGAACCAGCCACGUCGCGUGAAGGAAGACGGCCCUACGGGUUGUAAACUUCUUUUAUACGGGAAUAAAGUGCCCCACGCGUGGGGUUUUGCAUGUACCGUAUGAAUAAGGAUCGGCUAACUCCGUGCCAGCAGCCGCGGUAAAUACUGA